rnacentral:rRNA from 1 species
AGACUAGAGUGCGGAAGGGGAGAUUGGAAUUCCUGGUGUAGCGGUGGAAUGCGCAGAUAUCAGGAGGAACCCGAUGGCGAAGCAGAUCUCUGGGCCGUAACUGACGCUGAGGAGCGAAAGGGUGGGGAGCAAACAGGAUUAGAUACCCUGGUAGUCCACCCCGUAAACGUUGGGAACUAGUUGUGGGGUGCAUUCCACGGAUUCCGUGACGCASCUAACGCAUUAAGUUCCCCGCUUGGGGAGUACAGCCGCAAGGUUAAAACUCAAAGGAAUUGACGGGGACCCCGCGAAGSGGGGGAGCAUGGGUAUUAAUUCGAUGCAACCCGAAAAACCUUACCAGGGUUGGACAUAUCCGASAACUGGCCAGAAAUGGUCUCCUCUUUGGAGACUCAUAAACAGGUGGUGCAUGGUUGUCGUCAGCUCGUGUCGUGAGAUGUUGGGUUAAGUCCCGCAACGAGCGCAACCCUUAUUGUAUGUUGCCAUCAYUUAAUGGGGGGAACUCAUGGGAUACUGCCGGGGACAACUCAGAAGAGGGGGGGUAAGACCUCAAAUCAUCGUGCCCCAUGAGUCUUGGUCUUCACGCGUGCUA